rnacentral:misc_RNA from 1 species
UCCGGCUUAUCACCGGCAGUCCCUCUAGAGUGCCCAACUCAAUGCUGGCAACUAAAGGCGAGGGUUGCGCUCGUUGCGGGACUUAACCCAACAUCUCACGACACGAGCUGACGACAGCCAUGCAGCACCUGUCUCUGGGUUCCCGAAGGCACCCCCGCAUCUCUGCAGGGUUCCCAGGAUGUCAAGGCCAGGUAAGGUUCUUCGCGUUGCAUCGAAUUAAACCACAUGCUCCACCGCUUGUGCGGGCCCCCGUCAAUUCAUUUGAGUUUUAGCCUUGCGGCCGUACUCCCCAGGCGGUCGACUUAUCGCGUUAACUGCGCCACUAAGCCCUUAAAUGAGCCCAACGGCUAGUCGACAUCGUUUAGGGCGUGGACUAC